ACUCCUACGGGAGGCAGCAGUGGGGGAAUAUUGCACAAUGGGCGCAAGCCUGAUGCAGCCAUGCCGCGUGUAUGAAGAAGGCCUUCGGUUGUGAAAUGUAACUUUACAGUCAGUGAGGAAGGAUGGGUAUGUUAAUAGCAUACUCAUUUGACGUUAGCUGCAGAAGAAGCACCGGCUAACUCCGUGCCAGCAGCCGCGGUAAUACGGAGGGUGCGAGCGUUAAUCGGAAUUACUGGGCGUAAAGCGCAUGCAGGUGGUUUGUUAAGUCAGAUGUGAAAGCCC
rnacentral:rRNA from 1 species